rnacentral:rRNA from 1 species
CCUACGGGCGGUAGCAGUGGGGAAUAUUGGACAAUGGGGGGAACCCUGAUCCAGCCAUGCCGCGUGUGUGAAGAAGGCCCUCGGGUUGUAAAGCACUUUCAGUGAGGAAGAACGCCUGGUGGUUAAUACCCAUCAGGAAAGACAUCACUCACAGAAGAAGCACCGGCUAACUCCGUGCCAGCAGCCGCGGUAAUACGGAGGGUGCGAGCGUUAAUCGGAAUUACUGGGCGUAAAGCGCGCGUAGGUGGCUUGAUAAGCCGGUUGUGAAAGCCCCGGGCUCAACCUGGGAACGGCAUCCGGAACUGUCAAGCUAGAGUGCAGGAGAGGAAGGUAGAAUUCCCGGUGUAGCGGUGAAAUGCGUAGAGAUCGGGAGGAAUACCAGUGGCGAAGGCGGCCUUCUGGAAUGACACUGACACUGAGGUGCGAAAGCGUGGGUAGCAAACAGGAUUAGAUACCCCUGUAGUC